rnacentral:rRNA from 1 species
UACGUAGGGGGCAAGCGUUAUCCGGAUUUACUGGGUGUAAAGGGAGCGUAGACGGCAGCGCAAGUCUGGAGUGAAAUGCCGGGGCUCAACCCCGGAACUGCUUUGGAAACUGUGCAGCUAGAGUGCGGGAGAGGCAAGCGGAAUUCCUAGUGUAGCGGUGAAAUGCAUAGAUAUUAGGAGGAACACCAGUGGCGAAGGCGGCUUGCUGGACUGAAACUGACGCUGAGGCUCGAAAGCGUGGGGAGCAAACAGG